rnacentral:rRNA from 1 species
UACGAGAGCGACGAACGUUAUCCGGAAUUACUGGGCGUAAAGGGCUCGUAGGUGGCCAACUAAGUCAGACGUGAAAUCCCUCAGCUUAACUGGGGAACUGCGUGUGAUACUGGAUGGCUUGGAUUUGGGAGAGGGAUGCGGAAUUCCAGGUGUAGCGGUGAAAUGCGUAGAUAUCUGGAGGAACACCGGUGGCGAAGGCGGCAUCCUGGACCAAUAUUGACGCUGAGGAGCGAAAGCCAGGGGAGCAAACGGG